rnacentral:rRNA from 1 species
UCGAUUUGGAGUUUGUUGCCUAGAGUGAUGGGCUCCGAAGCUAACGCGAUAAAUCGACCGCCUGGGGAGUACGGCCGCAAGGUUAAAACUCAAAUGAAUUGACGGGGGCCCGCACAAGCGGUGGAGCAUGUGGUUUAAUUCGAUGCAACGCGAAGAACCUUACCUGGUCUUGACAUCCACAGAAUCUUUCAGAGAUGAGGGAGUGCCUUCGGGAACUGUGAGACAGGUGCUGCAUGGCUGUCGUCAGCUCGUGUUGUGAAAUGUUGGGUUAAGUCCCGCAACGAGCGCAACCCUUAUCCUUUGUUGCCAGCGAUUAGGUCGGGAACUCAAAGGAGACUGCCGUUGAUAAAACGGAGGAAGGUGGGGACGACGUCAAGUCAUCAUGGCCCUUACGACCAGGGCUACACACGUGCUACAAUGGCGUAUACAAAGGGAAGCGAAGGUGCGAGCUGGAGCGGACCUCCCAAAGUACGUCUAAGUCCGGAUUGGAGUCUGCAACUCGACUCCAUGAAGUCGGAAUCGCUAGUAAUCGUGAAUCAGAAUGUCACGGUGAAUACGUUCCCGGGCCU